rfam:Sanguibacter keddieii DSM 10542, complete genome.
UCCGGUCCUCGGUAGUGGCUCACGGACCCGCGCACGCGCGCGAGGAACGUCCGUGGACCUCGAUCGAAGACCGCC